UUGAACUGAAGAGUUUGAUCAUGGCUCAGAUUGAACGCUGGCGGCAGGCCUAACACAUGCAAGUCGGGCGGCAGCACAGGUACUUGUACCGGGUGGCGAGCGGCGGACGGGUGAGUAAUGCCUAGGAAUCUGCCUGGUAGUGGGGGAUAACGCUCGGAAACGGACGCUAAUACCGC
rnacentral:rRNA from 1 species